AACUACACUCUGCUUUCCAGCUGUACCCCCUUGUGCUUGUUAGUGGUGCUCCAGCUCAUUAACUAUGAGGAAAUAGCUGGCACUCCUUUAAAAUCUUAAAACUGGUAGAAAUGCAUUAGAGAUAAUAUACCUCUUUCUAGCACUAGAGGACCAUGACAGUGAGCAAACAUUUUUGUCAUUUGAAAACAUGUUUUUAUUUUACACCUAACUUUAUUAACAGCAAUUUUCAUGUGUCUUGCAGUUGUAAUCCAUCAAUUUCAAAAUCCUUUAUAAGAAAAACACAUUUAUUUCCAAAGAUGUUGGCUACCUUAAGACACACCAAAAGUGCUUUUGCAAGUGACCACUUCAAAAUCAGGACUCAUCCGCACCUAGAAUUGCCUGGGGUGUUAUGUGACUAAUCACAGGCUGCUCCCAGCUGCCUUCAUAGGUGCUUGGUAGGCAAGGGGGUAAUUAGGGCUUCCUAAUUAAGAAGUGCCUUGCAGAGCUAGGUUUUGGAUGCUGCCCAUGGGGUUUUGCUUCUGCUUUGCAACUAGGACAACAGGUAGUAUGUACAGCCCCAAUGGAUUUUCCCAAAUGCUCCUCUUUCUGACUACACUUGGGACCAGACUAAGUCACGUACUUGAUUUCAACAUGUGAGAAACACACUUUUAUGAAUAGUGGCUCUUCUGUGCUGGAAAAUGGA